AAUAGAUACCCAGGUAGUCCACGCCGUAAACGAUGAGUGCUAGGUGUUGGGGGGACCCCCCUCAGUGCCGCAGGUAACCCAAUAAGCACUCCGCCUGGGGAGUACGGUCGCAAGACUGAAACUCAAAGGAAUUGACGGGGGCCCGCACAAGCGGUGGAGCAUGUGGUUUAAUUCGAAGCAACGCGAAGAACCUUACCAGGGCUUGACAUCCCGCUGCCCGGUGUAGAGAUAUGCCUUUCCCCUUCGGGGGACAGCGGUGACAGGUGGUGCAUGGUUGUCGUCAGCUCGUGUCGUGAGAUGUUGGGUUCAGUCCCGCAACGAGCGCAACCCUUGUUUCUAGUUGCCAGCACUUCGGGUGGGCACUCUAGAGAGACAGCCGGUGAAAGCCGGAGGAAGGUGGGGAUGACGUCAAAUCAUCAUGCCCCUUAUGUCCUGGGCUACACACGUGCUACAAUGGCUGGUACAGAGGGUAGCGAACCCGCGAGGGGGAGCCAAUCCCAAAAAACCAGUCUCAGUUCGGAUUGCAGGCUGCAACUCG
rnacentral:rRNA from 1 species